rnacentral:rRNA from 1 species
AACGAACGCUGGCGGCAUGCCUAACACAUGCAAGUCGAACGAGACCUUCGGGUCUAGUGGCGCACGGGUGCGUAACGCGUGGGAAUCUGCCCUUCGGUUGGGAAUAACUGAGAGAAAUGUCAGCUAAUACCUUAUAAUGUCUUCGGACCAAAGAUUUAUCGCCGAGGGAUGAGCCCGCGUAGGAUUAGGUAGUUGGUGGGGUAAUGGCCUACCAAGCCGACGAUCCUUAGCUGGUCUGAGAGGAUGAUCAGCCACACUGGGACUGAGACACGGCCCAGACUCCUACGGGAGGCAGCAGUGGGGAAUAUUGGACAAUGGGCGAAAGCCUGAUCCAGCAAUGCCGCGUGAGUGAUGAAGGCCUUAGGGUUGUAAAGCUCUUUUACCCGGGAUGAUAAUGACAGUACCGGGAGAAUAAGCUCCGGCUAACUCCGUG